AGACAGAGGAGGCAAGCGUUGUUCGGAAUUAUUGGGCUUAAAGCGGGUGUAGGCGGCUGCGAAAGUGUGGUGUGAAAGCCCACGGCUUAACCGUGGAACGGCACCGCAUACUACGUAGCUUGAGGCCGGUAGAGGUGCCUGGAACUCUCGGUGGAGCGGUGAAAUGCGUAGAUAUCGAGAGGAACGCCAGAGGCGAAAGCGGGGCACUGGGCCGGUACUGACGCUGAGACCCGAAAGCGUGGGGAGC
rnacentral:rRNA from 1 species